rnacentral:hammerhead_ribozyme from 1 species
GCACUGCUGUGGAGUCCCACAAUAGGACGAAACGGCCGUCCAGUAC